UACGGGGGGGGUAAGCGUUGUUCGGAAUUACUGGGCGUAAAGGGCUCGUAGGUGGCCAACUAAGUCAGACGUGAAAUCCCUCGGCUUAACCGGGGGAACUGCGUCUGAUACUGGAUGGCUUGAGUUUGGGAGAGGGAUGCGGAAUUCCGAGGUGUAGCGGUGAAAUGCGUAGAUAUCUGGAGGAACACCGGUGGCGAAGGCGGCAUCCUGGACCAACACUGACGCUGAGGAGCGAAAGCCAGGGGAGCAAACGGGG
rnacentral:rRNA from 1 species